AGGACGAACGCUGGCGGCGUGCUUAACACAUGCAAGUCAAGGGGGUCCCGCAAGGGGCAACCGGCGAACGGGUGCGUAACACGUGAGCGACCUACCUCCACGCGGGGGAUAGCCGGCCCAACGGCCGGGUAAUACCGCAUACGCUCUUUCUGGGGCAUUCCGGGGAGAGGAAACUUCCGAGGCGGGGAGAGGGGCUCGCGGCCUAUCAGCUAGUUGGCGGGGUAAUGGCCCACAAGGCGGUGACGGGUAGCU
rnacentral:rRNA from 1 species